UACGUAGGUGGCAAGCGUUAUCCGGAAUUACUGGGCGUAAAGCGCACGCAGGCGGCGCAUCAAGUUCGACGUGAAAGCUCCCGGCUUAACUGGGAGAGGUCGUUGAAAACUGAUGUGCUUGAGGCAAUGAGAGGGGUGUAGAAUUCCCGGUGUAGUGGUGGAAUGCGUAGAUAUCGGGAGGAAUACCAGUGGCGAAAGCGGCACCCUAGCGUUGUUCUGACGCUCAUGUGCGAAAGCGUGGGGAGCGAACGGGAUUAGAUACCCCCGUAGUCC
rnacentral:rRNA from 1 species